UACGUAGGGGGCGAGCGUUGUCCGGAUUUAUUGGGCGUAAAGAGCUCGUAGGCGGUUUGGUAAGUCGGGUGUGAAAUCUCCACGCUCAACGUGGAGGGGCCACUCGAUACUGCCAUGACUCGAGUCCGGUAGAGGAGUGUGGAAUUCCCGGUGUAGCGGUGAAAUGCGCAGAUAUCGGGAGGAACACCCGUAGCGAAGGCGGCACUCUGGGCCGGAACUGACGCUGAGGAGCGAAAGCCAGGGUAGCGAACGGG
rnacentral:rRNA from 1 species